ACGAACGCUGGCGGCGUGCUUAACACAUGCAAGUCGAACGGAAAGGCCCCUUUGGGGGUACUCGAGUGGCGAACGGGUGAGUAACACGUGAGUAACCUGCCCUUGACUUCGGGAUAACUUCAGGAAACUGGGGCUAAUACCGGAUAGGAAUCCUUGCUGCAUGGUGGGGGUUGGAAAGCUUCGGCGGUUUUGGAUGGACUCGCGGCUUAUCAGCUUGUUGGUGGGGUAGUGGCUUACCAAGGCUUUGACGGGUAGCCGGCCUGAGAGGGCGACCGGCCACAUUGGGACUGAGAUACGGCCCAGACUCCUACGGGAGGCAGCAGUGGGGAAGAUUGCACGAUGGGCGGAAGCCUGAUGCAGCAACGCCGCGUGCGGGAUGACGGCCUUCGGGUUGUAAACCGCGUUCAGCAGGGGCGAAGCUUGUGGUGACGGUACCUGCAGAAGAAGCACCGGCUAACUACGUG
rnacentral:rRNA from 1 species